UACGUAGGGUGCAAGCGUUAAUCGGAAUUACUGGGCGUAAAGCGUGCGCAGGCGGUUUUUUAAGACAGAGGUGAAAUCCCCGGGCUCAACCUGGGAACUGCCUUUGUGACUGCAAGGCUAGAGUACGGCAGAGGGGGAUGGAAUUCCGCGUGUAGCAGUGAAAUGCGUAGAUAUGCGGAGGAACACCGAUGGCGAAGGCAAUCCCCUGGGCCUGUACUGACGCUUAUGCACGAAAGCGUGGGGAGCAAACAGG
rnacentral:rRNA from 1 species